AAUUCACCCCGUCUGCUCCCCCCGCCCUUGCCUCUUUCUGCAUCCUCACCCUGCCCAGGUGUCCCCCAUCUGAGCGCGCGGGAACCCGAAGAAAAGACUGAGCCACGUUAAGGCGGGGGUUGGCAGAGGCCUUUGGGCCUCCCGGGACCCCUCUAAACACAAAAACAAUUCAUCUCCCCCCCGGUUCGCAAGCUCGGGGCUCCUGGGAAGGACCAUCCUUUGCCUGGAGACAAUCUCUGGACAGAUUUGGGUUCAAAUCCCAGCGUCAUGAUCAUGCCUUGGGGGAGCCCCACGUCCAAAGAGCGCCUCAUCUGUGAAGUGGGAUUUACCCUACCCACCCCUCGGUGUUGAUGAAAUUGAGACCGUGCGUGCCAAGUGUUGAGAACACAGUAAGCGCUUAAUAAACGUUAGCGGCUGUCAUGCUUAAUGUUAUUGCCUUUGUUACAACUGACUCGCUGUGGGCCCGAAGGAUCCUGUGGCUGCUGAGCCUCAGUCUUCCCCGCUGUAAAAUGUAGACCGUACUCUUCUUCAGAGCUGUUGCAUGCAGGUGGCGUUCCAUAAAUGCAGCAGGCCCGUGCCCAAGCGGAGGAGAGUGGAGGUCUCUUCGGAGCUUCUCCAGGGUCUCUGGAGUCUCUAGAGCGUGCAGCUUGGCUCGAGGCCGACCCCGCACUCCCUUGGAAACCCGGAUGUCAGCUCCCCAAGGAUCAUUGUCUGUCUUGUCCUCUGCUGAGUCCGUGGCUCCUACAACAGUGUCUAGCGUGUGGAAAGGGCUCAGUUGUUGUUUCUGUAGCGGGGGAGGGGAGUGAACGUGGGAAGGUGAAUACACGUGACCUCCAUUUUAACUAUGAGGUAUGUCUUUUUAUUUAAAAAAAAUUUUUAAUUAAGUUUAUUUAUUUUGAGAGAGAACACAUGCGCAGGAGAGGCAGAGAGAGGGAGAGAGAGAAUUCCAAGCAGGCUCCGCACUGUCAGCGUGAGGAACCCCAUGUAGGGCUCGAACCCACAAACCCGUGGGAUCAUGACCUGAGCUGAAAUCAAGAGUCAGAUGCUUAACCGACUGAGCCACCCAGGUGCCCCUAUGUCUUUUUAUUUUUCAUUGUUAAUUAUUUUGAUGGAGGCACAACUUACAUAUGGUCAAGUACACAGAUCCUUUGGUGUGCAGCUCUGAAUUAAAAAAAAAAUUUUUUUUAACGUUUAUUUAUUUUUGAGACAGAGAGAGACAGAGCAUGAACAGGGGAGGGUCAGAGAGAGGGAGACACAGAAUCUGAAACAGGCUCCAGGCUCUGAGCGGUCAGCACAGAGCCCGACGCGGGGCUCGAACUCACGGACCGUGAGAUCAUGACCUGAGCUGAAGUCGGACGCUUAACCGACUGAGCCACCCAGGCGCCCCUUUAAUGUUUAUUUUUGAG